AUUAUCCACCUGGAUGCCAAACUACUUCUGCCAAAGAUAACAAUUCUGGUUGGAUAAUCAUCCCCCAGUCGAUGCACCUGAAGGCAGUUGGCUAAUGGGUUUGACCACGGGAUCACCACAGAAAAGAUGCCUGUCUUCCUGUUUCCUAAGGCGGGAGCACACGUGAGCAGUCCAUCUAAAACCUGAGGCAAAUCAUUAAAAGUGGAAAAGGAUUGGAUGAACAUUAUAAUCACUCCUCUAUAUUAUUACACCACAUUGAAUUUUGGGUUAUUUUAUUACUCAGCAGAGUCUGCUUUGCAUUAACAUUAUUUACAGAAUUUUUUCUCUUGUAAGAUAAUAUAAUAAUUUUCUGGAGGGCUGAUUUUUUUUUUAAGACUCUAAAAGCUCUUCUUUGAAAUGAAGAAAUCCCUGUGAGAUUCAAGAAUUGAUGAUAAUGACCAUUGUCUCUAACUUUCAAGAUGUCUUUCUCACACAUACGAGGCCAUCCACAGCUGCAGGUGGGAGCCUACCACAGACAGUUUUCUCAAUCUCAUAAAUAGGGUCCAAUGUGUGAUCUCCAAAGUGAAUUUCAAUACAAAAUAAAUGGCAAAAUGCAACUUCCUCAAAUUUAAUCAGAGUUAAAUAAUACUAUUUGCUAAAGCUGAACUAUUUUGUUUUCAUCUACUUUAAAUAAUCUGUGAAGUUACACAUGAUUUUAAUGAUAAAUCUUAAAAUUAAGGUUACCUUGAAUGAGUUUUUCUAGACAAAACCAGAUUACAAGAAUGCAAUACCCAAUAUAUUCUUUUCCUUAUACACAA
rnacentral:lncRNA from 1 species